ensembl:lncRNA
GAAAGACCCCAGAUAGCAAUGAGUCGGCGGACCACCGGCGGCGCUCCGGCGGCAGUAGAAGCGUCAGAAUGGCGUAAUCGCAAACACGUUUGACGGUGCACCGCCGGCGGCAGCCGCUUUUUAGAAGCGGCAGCCGCCUUCCUACCGCCUUCGUUCCGCGGCCGGCCCGCGGGCCAACCGCCGUCCCGCCGCCGUUAUAUCAAAGGCGACCCUUCCGCGGCCCGUCGGAGGCAAACGCUAUUUUCGAGCGAUCGGUCGCCGCUUAUAUAUAUAUAUAUAUCAUGCAGUUUAUCAAGAAUAAUGAUUGAUCAAACCAGACAAAUUUCCAUUUGACGUUUUAAUUCCACAUUUCAAAGUACAGUAACUGUCAUUGAAACAUGAUGUCAGAUCCCUGAAAUAUAAAUAACAGAAAAAAAGAGAAAAAAAUAUAUACACACACACACAAAAGAACAUGCAGGUUUCCAAUUAAAUUGUUAAAAAAAAAAAAAACAGCCUUAGCUUACAAGCAAAUUAUAACACUUACAAUAAUUGUUAAUAAUAUAAAGAGGUCAGCUCUGGGAUGAAAAGAAUUACCAGUAAACAUAAGUAAUGAGUAUAUCUGGUACCAAAGAAUGUGCAGGACACCAAAAAAAAUUCAGGUAUAACAUCACAUUUACAAGCCAUUUCUAACAAUAAGAUAAGUGGUAAUAAUUUAGAAUAAAGCUCUGGAGUAGAAUAGACCAUUAUAUUGGCAUUGCUGACCUGGGGUACAAGAUGUCUCUUGUAUCUGUGAUAAACAUCUUCACAUAUAUAUAAAAAAUACUGAGGUAAAAAAAGUAGUAGAACAGAUAUAACUGCAAUGCUGACCUGUGGCACAAGGAUUUACAAGCUAUAUUUAACAAUAUAAUAAGAGUUAAGCACUAUGAUAAUAUCCACAGUGAACAGUGUGGAUUGGGGAGUGCAGUCUGACACUUCUGGCUUCUUUAGGGGUCUUGAUGUUACUGACUGCAGGAUAAAGAAAGGGUUCCAGUUGUCAGUGAUGCUGGGGUGUCAGUAGUCAGCCUAGGUUUAAGGGGUCGGCUGUGGGUCCCUCUCAGCUGUGCGGCACCUUUUUCCGCCUUCACGGUCAGAUGCUCCUUUCAGGUAACGCGUAACGUUAACCUGGACGGCUUCAUCAGUGGCAUCCUGUGUUGCCGGGUUCUUCCGGAUGGCUCCUGUAGAAAAUACAGAUCUGUCAUUCCAUUUGAAUGGCAUAAUGCCAUACACAUCUACUAAACAUUUUUUUUUUUUACAUCCAACUUACUUUGAACAAUGGUCUUCAGGAACAUGUCUCUAAAACAUGCUUUAUCCCCAACUCCAGUCCAGGUUGUAUUGAUGGAAAGGUGAUUAGAGAAGGUACUUUGAAGCAUCCGCCAGACGGUUGUCUUAUAGGUCCCUCCCACAUUUGAUUGCCAAAAACCGAAGCUGAAAAUCCAAAAAAAGUGUUACAAAUUACAUUUCUCUGAAGCUUAUCAUACAUAAAUAUAAAAUGUGACAGGCUGUGGAUUCAGACUGUAGAAUAUGCAGUGUACAAUCUUAAUUCUACUUUUUUUACAUUACCCUAUGGAGUUAUAAACGAAAUCAGCACACUUACAAAUCGUUCCUGGAGCUCUUUAUCCUGCCUCAAACUGUUGUCAAGCAACGCCAAAUCUUCCUGGGUGUCUAGAGGGAGUAACAGAUCCCCUGGCAGGGAUAACUCUCCAACAGACACAUUGGCACUGAAAUGUUGCAGCAUAGUGUCCAUUUUGUUGUCCAUGCUUCGCACAACAUCGGCAAACUCUCCAAGACGUCGCAGCAUUAAGGUCUACUACAUGUAUAGGUGGCCCCAGUGGGAAUUAAACCAACAACCACAGGUGUUGUUUGCAAGUUGUACCUGAUUGCCCAGUGCGAGCAAACGUCUUCAACAUUGUCCCAACUUGCUUCACCUGCUCUUGAAGUGAGCCGCUGUCAUCCGAAGCUACAAAAUGAAAGGCAUAUG